GAUGAACGCUGGCGGCGUGCCUAAUACAUGCAAGUCGAGCGAACGGACGAGAAGCUUGCUUCUCUGAUGUUAGCGGCGGACGGGUGAGUAACACGUGGAUAACCUACCUAUAAGACUGGGAUAACUUCGGGAAACCGUAGCUAAUACCGGAUAAUAUUUUGAACCGCAUGGUUCAAAAGUGAAAGACGGUCUUGCUGUCACUUAUAGAUGGAUCCGCGCUGCAUUAGCUAGUUGGUAAGGUAACGGCUUACCAAGGCAACGAUGCAUAGCCGACCUGAGAGGGGGGACGGCCAAACCUGAACCGAGGCACGGGUCCGGACCCUACCGGAAGCAGGAGUAAGGAAUCUUCCGGAAAGGGCGGAAGCCUGACGGAGCAACGGCGCGGGAGGGAAGAAGGGUUUCCGGACGGAAAACUCUUUUAAUAGGGAAGAACAUAAGUGUAAGGAACCUGGGAAAUCCUGGCGGGACCUAAUCAGAAAGCCACGGCUAACUACGU
rnacentral:rRNA from 1 species